rnacentral:rRNA from 1 species
AGCGAACGCUGGCGGUAGGCCUAACACAUGCCAGUCGAACGGCAGCACAGUAAGAGCUUGCUCUUACGGGUGGCGAGUGGCGGACGGGUGAGGAAUAUAUCGGAAUCUACUUUUUCGUGGGGGUUCACGUAGGGAAACUUACGCUAAUACCGCAUACGCCCUACGGGUGAAAGCAGGGGAUCUUCGGACCUUGCGCGAUUGAAUGAGCCGAUGUCGGAUUAGCUAGUUGGCGGGGUAAAGGCCCACCCAGGCGACGAUCCGUAGCUGGUCUGAGAGGAUGAUCGGCCACACUGGAACGGGGACACGGUCCAGACGCCUACGGGGGGCAGCAGUGGGGAAUAUGGGACAAUGGGCGCAAGCCUGAUCCAACCAUACCGCGUGGGUGAAGAAGGCCUUCGGGUUGUAAAGCCCUUUUGUUGGGAAAGAAAAGCAGCAGGUUAAUACCCCGCUGUUCUGACGGUACCCAAAGAAUAAGCACCGGCUAACUUCGUG